ACAUAUAUAUGAAGGCCUAACACACACGUGUGUAAAUUUUCAGGGCAAAAUAAGUUGAAAUGAGGGCUGUGCAAAAAAGACAAAUCUGAGGCUUUUUAACACAUGACACUAUUCAUCCUCCCGGACCAGAAAUUUGUCUUUUUUGUAUAGUUCACAUUUCAACAUUUUUCAUUCUGAAAUUUUACACAAAUAGGCAUAACAUACUUGUUUACUUGCACAAUUUUUUUCAGAUUUUUUUGAAACCAAAAAGUUUGAAUUUUGAUUUGUUUUCAAAAAAAGGCCUCCAUGGCUCCCGGGAGCCAAACGUCCGUUCUCCUUCUACACACAGCGCCGUAAGUGUUACUAGAUGCUUGCUUUUCAUGGGAUGAUCACGUUAGGAUUGCGGUCUAAGCUGCGGGUGCUCCUGUUUAAUCAUCUCUAGUUACCUGCUAGUGUCAAUUUUCAUACAGAUGUCAGAUCAACUAAUAUACCGCUAGAUGAAAAUUUUACCUCAAAGGUGUCUGAGUUUAGUGAUUCAAGGUCUGUAUCACUCGAUCAGACUCCCGCACGUACAUUUGGUUACUUGCAUACUUAGACCCGGAGUUCUACCCCGCUACUGAGAAGAGUCAUGUUUGUAGUUAUGCGUGUGAAGCUUCUUAUUAGAUAGAAGCUGAUUUCAUUAAUGACCCCGGUACCGAAUAGAACUUAUCUCAUUACUAUCUGGAACCACCACAUCAAGGAAGUCUCAUGGGAAUUAGGGAUUCUCAAGUCGUGCAAGAAGCAGCUGCUGAAGGAACUGAUGGUAUUGCAUCAAUAGCAUAAUCAUACUUGAAAACCAUACUACGAGAGGCUAACCAUGAAAGCGGAAGAAAUUGUUCAUCAUAGAAGUAUGAACAAUUUACAUCUCUUUCAUGGUUGGCCUCUCCUCCUUCGGUUCUCAAGCAUGAUUCUGCUAUUGAUGCGAUAUCAUCAGUUUCUUUGAGAUUUGCUUCUUCCACAACUUGAGAAUCCAUAAUUUCCAUGAGAACUCCCCGAUGAAGUGCUUCCAUGAAAUAAUGAGCCGAGUUAUGUUUUAUUUUAGGUCAUUAAUUAAUGAAAACUGGUUUGUUUCUAAUGAGAAGCUCCACAAGCAUAACUCCAAACUAUAAACGCAUCACUCCUCCCGGUCAGUCCAUACUCAUUGUUUAAGUAACCAAUCCUACCAUGCAUGUACAAUUGUCGCCACAGGAGUAUGUUAGAGUGAUACAGAUCUUAAAGCACCCAAGUUAGACACCUUUGUAGAAAAUUAUCAUCUAACAAUAUAUUGGCUGAUUUGACAUCCCUAUGGGAAAUUGGCAUUGUAGCGCCUAAGUGGAGAUAAGCAGGAGCAGUCGCAGUUUCUACGGCAAUUCUAACGUGAUCAUCCCAUGAAAGCAAGCACUUAGCACUCGCUUAAGUGUGUCAAGGACCUAGAGUGUUCCAUUAGAUAUGAACUCAUAGACCAGCAAUGGCACCACUGUUUCGAAACAACUACUCACAGACAAUUGUUCUGGACUGGCUUCCGAAGUCAAGAUAAAGUCUCAAACCUGGUGGAUACGGGCGUUCUCAGGCCAUUUCCAGUCCGAGCUGUCGUUGACUGUUGUCCUGCUAAUGGCCGAUGCAAUCUGUUCUCAGUGCCAUGUGGUCCUUCCUCUCGAUCUGGCGCACAGUGUCGCAGGAUUACCUCGCUGACAGGUGGUCCUUCCUUGGGCAUUGCAUGUGGUUGUGUGCGGCUGCGUGAGCACGGUUCAUACUUCCUCCGUUCCAAAAUUGAUGACUCAACUCUGUACUAACUUAAGUACAAAGUUGAGUCGUCUAUUUUGGAACGGAGGGAGUAUGUUUUAAGCGGUGGCUUCAUUUUGUUCCCCUCUGUGUAUCUCUGAUAGGUGGUCAUUUUCUUCGUGACCCGCAUGUCGAUCUUCUCAUCUGGUGUGUGCCCGCCGGCAGAUUGGGUGGCCUGUUGCUCGGUCAGGAUGAUAUGAGUAACUGCCAAAUCCCUUCUUUUCUAAAGCUUUAUUACCGCCAAGUUCAGUCGUGGUCAUUGUAUUGAUACAGUCCAGUGCACUGUAUGUACAUAUCUUUGGGUCUGGGCAUAAACAAUUCUUAUUCCAAGAUCAUUUCGUCUUCCUGAAACAAAUCCAUGCUCAUUGUACUUUGACAGAUAAAUUGUUUGAUCAUUUUGUGUUCAUCAAAUGUCACAAUACAACAAGAGAUUCAAGGGAAACAAGAUACAUGCAUGGGCUAUCUGAUGUGUACCAAGCUGAUGUGUACAGAUAAAUUCUUUUUCCAAUAUCCUCACAGAAGACAGCAAAAAAGCUCUAUCUAUGCCUUUUGGGAACUUCUAUGCCUACUGAAUAUCCUCGCGAGACUGACGGACAUACUGACUGAAUUCAGCUCUAUUUCAGGCCAAUCGGUAGGGCGCUUAGUCAAGGGCUGGCCAUAGGCUAAAUGCAUAUGUUGGUCUACUAUGAUGAUGCGCCCAUGGUAAACUGCUUCACAUCUUUUGCUUAUGUAGAAUGUUGUGUUUGUGUCAGCCGAAACUGAUGCAAAACCAUGUGUGUGCUUCGUGUCUGUAGUCAACCGAAAUUAGCUCUGUCGUGCCACUAGUGCAAUGCAAUUGUUAAUCUAUACCGACUUGUGGAAGUGUCACACCAGAAUUCCAGGAACAGAUAAAGUUACUGUGCCCUUAGCUUUAGUAACUCAAUCUCUUGAGCUUAAUUUGCCGGGUUUGUUUAUGAGCAGAUUUGGUUCCCUUUCUUGCAACUGGACCUACCUAGUUGCAUUCAAUUUAUAUCAUGACAAAAUUGCUUA